rnacentral:lncRNA from 1 species
AAUAAUUCACCAAACAGAUAUCGAAAUGAUCGUAAUCGAGUUAUCUUUCCACAGAAUCAAACCCCACUAAAUUUGGAGUUACAAUGAGAGAUUAAUUACCGUUUUAGUGAAGGUAUAUCCCCCAAAAUUCUGCACAAAAUCUGCUUUCGAGUCACACCUUCAAAGCUUCGCACACAACUCAAUUUGAAUCAAUAAUUCACCAAACGGAUAUCAAAAUGACCGUAAUCGAGUUAUCUUUCCACAGAAUCAAA